UACGAGGGGGGCGAGCGUUGUUCGGAAUUAUUGGGCGUAAAGGGUGCGUAGGCGGUUUGGUAAGUCUUGUGUGAAAUCUCCAGGCUCAACUUGGAGUCUGCACGAGAAACUGCCGGGCUUGAGUGUGGGAGAGGUGAGUGGAAUUCCUGGUGUAGCGGUGAAAUGCGUAGAUAUCAGGAGGAACACCUGUGGCGAAAGCGGCUCACUGGACCACAACUGACGCUGAUGCACGAAAGCGUGGGGAGCAAACGGG
rnacentral:rRNA from 1 species